UAAUUCUAGUGUUUAUGUAAGGCAGAGGUUACAAAUGUAAACGUUACAACCUUUUGUUUGGACCGUUUUUUCCUUUUGAUCUUUCUAUUAGAAACGUACGGUGGCCGUGAGGUGCAAAACACUUCAACAUUAGUGAAACACCUACAAACUUUAAUGAAGCACAAUUACAAAAGCACCGUGACAUUAACAAAACCCCUACAACAUUAACAAAAGUGCUACAACAUUAACGAAAGCACUACAAACUUUAAUGAAGCGCAAUUACAAAAGCACCGUAACAUUACAAAACCCCUACAACAUUACGAAAGCGCUACAACAUUAGCAAACCGGAAGAGGUAUGUCCCAGUGGGAGACCUAAGAAGUCGUUGAUUGGACGACAGCUCGUUUUACCUUUGAACCGGAAGUUAUUCUGGGUUUAAUGUGUUUUUUAAAAACAUGAACAUUCUUGGUGAUCCAAACCUUUCUACUGCUAUUGCAGAGUAUUUUGAGUCAGGACAUACAAAUGACGUGAUACUGGACUAUGGAGAUAAUUUCUUGACAAAACGUUGUAAGCAAAAAAAUUUGUUGCACACAAAUAAAACUUGUUUUGCACACAAAAAGAUAUGUUUCACACACAAAAAAUUGUUUUGCAAACUGUUCGCCAACCUUGCACUCAAAAUAUCAUUUAUAAGUUUUCCUCGAGUACAAAACGGUCUGUGCUCGUACAAAACUGCCUCUGCUCGAGUACGAAACAAUCCCACCACCGCUGCGGUAAAUUUGUGCCAAAAGUCACGUGAUGCAUUAAGAGUUGUUGUUGUUGUUGUUCAGACUUCCCGACAGCAGGGGGCGCACCCGAAAGAAACUGAAACGCGCCGGUUUGGCUAAGGAAGAAAGACGUGACACCAUAGCUCAGUGCAGCUAACAGCAUUAGCACCCCACAGGUCUCAGUUUUGGAUGGACCCGUUUGGAGAUUUGAGAGACUCCGGAAACUUCAACGGAAGCCAUGAGCACCAGUGCUUGCUCAGAUUCUGCUUCACCAGAGUUCUGCAGAAAGACCUGGAUGAAUGUAAAGAUCUCUGGAAUAACCACAGGAUCCGGCCAAGCAGACUUGCAUCAUGUCCUGGUGGGAUUCCAAACGAACUCUAUCUCUUGCCUCACAGAUAUGGUUCAAGAGAUUGUGGCUUUCCUGUUGAGGACAGCGAUCUGGAUGUUUUCCCAGAAGCAAGUCAGGUGACAGAGUUGUGUGGUGAUAAAGACAUUGAGGAAUACCUACAGCAAGCAUUGCAACAACAUGGACAACAGCAGUCACAAGACUGGGAGUCAGCUAUGGAACUGUAUUUAUUGCUCAAACACACAGCGAGGCUGUGAACAAAAAAAAGCCAGAAUC